rnacentral:rRNA from 1 species
AGUGACGAAGGCUUUCGGGUCGUAAAGCUCUGUCAGAUGGAAAGAAUUAAUUCGCUGAAAAUAUUGGCGAAUGAUGACGGUACCAUCAAAGGAAGCACCGGCUAACUCCGUGCCAGCAGCCGCGGUAAUACGGAGGGUGCAAGCGUUGUUCGGAAUUAUUGGGCGUAAAGCGCGUGUAGGCGGGAAAGCAGGUCAGGUGUGAAAUCCCUUGGCCCAACCAAGGAACUGCAUCUGAAACCAUUUUCCUCGAGUACGAUAUGGGAGGGCGGAAUUCCCAGUGUAGAGGUGAAAUUCAUAGAUAUUGGGAGGAACACCAGUGGCGAAGGCGACCCUCUGGAUCGAUACUGACGCUGAGACGCGAAAGCGUGGGUAGCAAACAGGAUUAGAUACCCUGGUAGUCCACGCUGUAAACGAUGUGCACUAGGUGUUGGAGGUACUUAAUCCUCCAGUGCCGCAGCUAACGCAUUAAGUGCACCGCCUGGGGAAUACGGCCGCAAGGUUA